AAGCAUGGUGAGGGAAUUCCCUAAGCAUUUCCUUACAUCUCUCUCAACUCUCAUAAAUUGAUUCUCCUUAAAUCUAGGUAAAAUAAGUUAUAUCAUUUCUUAGUUU